rnacentral:lncRNA from 1 species
GAUUUCCUAGUAUUGAUCUUAUACCUUAUUGUAGGGUCGAGAUGGCGGACUAGAGGGGGGGUGAAUAGUCCUUUCUAAAACUUAACGCGCCGGCUAACCGAAAUAAGUGCGAAAAUAAAACUAUCGGUCUAGGCAAGAUUUCACCCCUCUAUCUAAGUUCUUUAGCACUUUGUAAAAGAUCCUAAACAAGCAAACAAGAUGCUACCUUAGC